CCUACGGGGGGCAGCAGUGGGGAAUAUUGGGCAAUGGGCGAAAGCCUGACCCAGCCAUGCCGCGUGAGUGAUGAAGGCCUUCGGGUCGUAAAGCUCUGUGGGGAGGGACGAAACCGUCGGGCGCUAACAUCGCCCGGCGCUGACGGUACCUCCUUAGCAAGCACCGGCUAACUCCGUGCCAGCAGCCGCGGUAAUACGGAGGGUGCAAACGUUGCUCGGAAUCAUUGGGCGUAAAGCGCACGUAGGCGGUUCUCUAAGUCGGAUGUGAAAGCCCUCGGCUCAACCGAGGAAGUGCAUUCGAUACUGGGGAGCUUGAAUAUGGAAGAGGGUCGCGGAAUUCCCGGUGUAGAGGUGAAAUUCGUAGAUAUCGGGAGGAACACCAGUGGCGAAGGCGGCGACCUGGGCCAAUAUUGACGCUGAGGUGCGAAAGCGUGGGGAGCAAACAGGAUUAGAUACCCCUGUAGUC
rnacentral:rRNA from 1 species